GGUCUAGCAGUGUCUCGGAGCUGGGACCGCUUGUGGCUGGUCCCUGGGCAAGCGUUUCCUCUGCACAAGACACAAUUCCAGCCUCACCUGUUCCUCCCACUCAGACCCGGGCUUCCAAGAAGCUACGGAAUGGGACGCCUGGGCCAAAGGAAGAAAGGGAGCUUUAAAAGGGGACCCACAUAGACACAACUUGGAGCUUUUGUCCUGAGUCCAUGCAGAAUCGAAGCUGUAAAGUAACCCUUGUGACUGUGCGACAGCCUGGAGCCUCUGGAAGAGAACAGAUGGAGAGAAAGCUCCAGCUCCUGUGCGCUGAGCAAGGACAGCAGAAUGGGCAUCACUGAUGGUGACUGUUUGGAGCCAGAUGAUGAAACCAAGACUCCGAGAGACUCAAAAAAAAUGCCGCCAAAGGUCAUGGAACCAGUAAGGACCUGUGACUUGAACGCAGGUCAGUGAGACCUCAGAACCCCAGCCCUCCAUCUCUUGUCUCUCACUCCACCAACCAACAGCGUGCUCCCUAGCCGCAGAGGACUUCAGGACAAUGGCACAAGAGACGCGACAAGACAGCAUGCCUCCCACUGGCCCUGGAGGCCUGGUCACCAAGGAUCUGUCUAGGUUCGGGAUUGUCAGGACCCCAGUAGCUGAGUACCAAGAGCACUUGGAAAUCUUUGUUCUUUGCCUGGAUGCUACAAAGCGCCAUCUUUGCAGGUGUCCUCAAUUCCAUCUUACAGUCUGGGCUUCACCAUAAGCCUCUCAGGUGGGCAUCGGCCUUGCCAUCUCAUAGAUUUUGAACUGAGGCCCAGCAAGGAUUCUGCCUGGCUCAAGGUCACAUGGACCAUCAGAGGCAGGGGCCACAGCGCCUCCACCCCAGUGCUCCAGGCUCGCUACCCAUCACCUCCCAGACCUAAAUGAAACCCUCACUCCAGAUCCCUGCAGAGUCACAGCUCUGUGCCAAUGACCUGCUCCUGGAGGUGCCACUCUGUCCCCUGACCCUCUGCUGCCCAUCUUGCUGACUUCAGUGCCCUGUCUUUUUUUUGGCCGCAGUAUGCAACAGCUUGAUGUGGGAUCCUAGUUUCCCAACCAGUGGUCAAACCCAGGCUGCAGUGGUGAAAGCGCCAAGUCCCAACCACUAGACCGCUAGGGAACUCCCUCGGUCCACUGUCUUUGAGGUACCAGAGUCUAUAUCCCUUGACAAUGGAGCCUCUGCAAUGUGAGUACCUGAAAUAACACCCUCCACCUCUGCCCCAGCACAGCUGAUGACGCCUCCCACCUAGCGGGGGCGCCAACCACAAAACAGAGUCCUGAGAAUGGAGCAGACGGACACGAGCAAGCAGCCGACAGAGGAGAUGCACAGACCUGAGAGUCUGGGGCAGGCCUCGGCAUCAUCCACCCACCCAUCAUCUGUCCACAGCGGCCAACACCUCCACCUGCUUGUUUCUGCAGAGGCACGUCCAGCUCGGAGGCGUCAGCAAGCCCAUCCUUUAUGCCAGGCACUUAAGCCUGGGCAGCACAGGCAGAUAACCCCCAUUCCCAGGAAUGCCUGGGGUCAGUGGUCAAGGGCGAGCAGUGGGGAAAUUGUCCCCCGUCUCUGGAGGGUCUGGUAGACCAGCUUCAACAUCGCAGUAAAUAUGCAGACAACAGUCCAAGGACCAUGGUCCAGGUAUGGCCGUGGGGGAACUCGACGGAGAAGCAAGACUUGAGCUGACACUGAAGGGAUGGGACACAGUCCGGGGUUGAGCAUCUGCAAAUGUUUGGAAGGUGCAAACACCCAGGAAGGACAGAAGUAUUGCCUCGCCGCCCCGAACCACCUGUUCUGAGGCAUCAGGCAAAUCUCUGAGCCUAAUUCACUUCUCGUGUUGAGAUGAACAUCUCACGGCGGAUGGAGGCGAGCUGGACAUCGGACCCACUCUGGAUGCAUGGAGGGGACUCAGAACACCACCCUUGGAGGACUUGCAUGGACGGGGCCAAUAAAUAGACCCCCAAGGGCAGUGUCUCCACGUCAUCCUAGACGCCGGGCUUCUAGGGAGCAUGGGAGGAAGUGUGCAGCACACAUCACAGCACAGGGGACCCUCCCCACCGCAGAAUCUUCCCGGAGAGAGGCCAGCCCGACAGGCCCCCCAGAAUCCCCGAGCUCUUCAUACAGACGGAAAAGGCCAGGCCCAGAGAGGGUCUGGGAGUUGCCCUGGUCACACACCAGGCGUGUGAGAAUCAGAAAUACACCUUGUCAGAGUUCCCGCUGUGGCACAGCGGAAAUGAACCUGAUGGGUGUCCAUGAGGAUGCAGGUUUGAUCCCCAGCCU